rnacentral:rRNA from 1 species
GUCGAACGAACUCUGGUAUUGAUUGGUGCUUGCAUCAUGAUUUACAUUUGAGUGAGUGGCGAACUGGUGAGUAACACGUGGGAAACCUGCCCAGAAGCGGGGGAUAACACCUGGAAACAGAUGCUAAUACCGCAUAACAACUUGGACCGCAUGGUCCGAGUUUGAAAGAUGGCUUCGGCUAUCACUUUUGGAUGGUCCCGCGGCGUAUUAGCUAGAUGGUGGGGUAACGGCUCACCAUGGCAAUGAUACGUAGCCGACCUGAGAGGGUAAUCGGCCACAUUGGGACUGAGACACGGCCCAAACUCCUACGGGAGGCAGCAGUAGGGAAUCUUCCACAAUGGACGAAAGUCUGAUGGAGCAACGCCGCGUGAGUGAAGAAGGGUUUCGGCUCGUAAAACUCUGUUGUUAAAGAAGAACAUAUCUGAGAGUAACUGUUCAGGUAUUGACGGUAUUUAACCAGAAAGCCACGGCUAACUACGUGCCAGCAGCCGCGGUAAUACGUAGGUGGCAAGCGUUGUCCGGAUUUAUUGGGCGUAAAGCGAGCGCAGGCGGUUUUUUAAGUCUGAUGUGAAAGCCUUCGGCUCAACCGAAGAAGUGCAUCGGAAACUGGGAAACUUGAGUGCAGAAGAGGACAGUGGAACUCCAUGUGUAGCGGUGAAAUGCGUAGAUAUAUGGAAGAACACCAGUGGCGAAGGCGGCUGUCUGGUCUGUAACUGACGCUGAGGCUCGAAAGUAUGGGUAGCAAACAGGAUUAGAUACCCUGGUAGUCCAUACCGUAAACGAUGAAUGCUAAGUGUUGGAGGGUUUCCGCCCUUCAGUGCUGCAGCUAACGCAUUAAGCAUUCCGCCUGGGGAGUACGGCCGCAAGGCUGAAACUCAAAGGAAUUGACGGGGGCCCGCACAAGCGGUGGAGCAUGUGGUUUAAUUCGAAGCUACGCGAAGAACCUUACCAGGUCUUGACAUACUAUGCAAAUCUAAGAGAUUAGACGUUCCCUUCGGGGACAUGGAUACAGGUGGUGCAUGGUUGUCGUCAGCUCGUGUCGUGAGAUGUUGGGUUAAGUCCCGCAACGAGCGCAACCCUUAUUAUCAGUUGCCAGCAUUAAGUUGGGCACUCUGGUGAGACUGCCGGUGACAAACCGGAGGAAGGUGGGGAUGACGUCAAAUCAUCAUGCCCCUUAUGACCUGGGCUACACACGUGCUACAAUGGAUGGUACAACGAGUUGCGAACUCGCGAGAGUAAGCUAAUCUCUUAAAGCCAUUCUCAGUUCGGAUUGUAGGCUGCAACUCGCCUACAUGAAGUCGGAAUCGCUAGUAAUCGCGGAUCAGCAUGCCGCGGUGAAUACGUUCCCGGGCCUUGUACACACCGCCCGUCACACCAUGAGAGUUUGUAACACCCAAAGUCGGUGGGGUAACCUUUUAGGAACCAGCCGCCUAAAGGUGG